CAGUCGCCACGGUAACACGGAGGGUGCAAGCGUUAAUCGGAAUUACUGGGCGUAAAGCGCACGCAGGCGGUUUGUUAAGUCUGCUGUGAAAUCCCCGGGCUCAACCUGGGAAUGGCAGUGGAUACUGGCUCGCUAGAGUGUGUCAGAGGAUGGUGGAAUUCCCGGUGUAGCGGUGAAAUGCGUAGAGAUCUGGAGGAAUACCGGUGGCGAAGGCGGCCCCCUGGACGAAGACUGACGCUCAGGUACGAAAGCGUGGGGAGCAAACAGGAUUAGAUACCCCUGUAGUCCCUGUCUCUUAUAC
rnacentral:rRNA from 1 species